UACGAAGGUGGCAAGCGUUGUUCGGAAUUACUGGGCGUAAAGGGCGCGUAGGCGGCCUUCUAAGUCGAACGUGAAAUCCCCGGGCUCAACCCGGGAACUGCGUCCGAUACUGGAAGGCUUGAAUCCGGGAGAGGGAUGCGGAAUUCCAGGUGUAGCGGUGAAAUGCGUAGAUAUCUGGAGGAACACCGGUGGCGAAGGCGGCAUCCUGGACCGGCAUUGACGCUGAGGCGCGAAAGCCAGAGGAGCAAACGGG
rnacentral:rRNA from 1 species